GAUGAACGCUGGCGGCGUGCCUAAUACAUGCAAGUCGAGCGAACGGACGAGAAGCUUGCUUCUCUGCUGUUAGCGGCGGACGGGUGAGUAACACGUGCAUAACCUACCUAUAAGACUGGGAUAACUUCGGGAAACCGUAGCUAAUACCGGAUAAUAUUUUGAACCGCAUGGUUCAAAAGUGAUAGACGGUCUUGCUGUCACUUAUAGAUGGAUCCGCGCUGCAUUAGCUAGUUGGUAAGGUAACGGCUUACCAAGGCAACGAUGCAUAGCCGACCUGAGAGGGUGAUCGGCCACACUGGAACUGAGACACGGUCCAGACUCCUACGGGAGGCAGCAGUAGGGAAUCUUCCGCAAUGGGCGAAAGCCUGACGGAGCAACGCCGCGUGAGUGAUGAAGGUCUUCGGAUCGUAAAACUCUGUUAUUAGGGAAGAACAUAUGUGUAAGUAACUGUGCACAUCUUGACGGUACCUAAUCAGAAAGCCACGGCUAACUACGUG
rnacentral:rRNA from 1 species